GACCAAUUGUAGAUUUUGGAGGAAACGGGAGUUGAAUUUGGACAAACGUGAAAAGUCGAUAAGGUACCGAAGUUCGAUUUGCUGAUCCACCUGUUUAGGAUAUUUGCUGCGUCGUUGACAGUGCUCCCUUGUUCGGAGCUUGUAUUUUGGUACUGACUUUAUCUCUGUAUAUUUGGAUAUGUUGGUCAGGGGUACGACGGGGCCUUGUCCCGUCAUAUGACUAUGCUAUCAUCUGUAGAGGUCUGUAGACAGAGUUAUGUUGUGGGUUUUGUAUAUAUGGUUUGGAUUUUUGUGUGUUUUGUGACAACCUUUCAACUCUCGUGCGUAUAUCUACUUUUAUGAUAUAUUUAGCAAUUUCUACUAA